UCCACCAAUGGAAAGUUUCACUCAUUAAAUAGCUUAGUAAGAAGAUCCCUAAAUAUUCCCAAGCCCACAUAGUUUCUGAAAGAGCACGUGCUGGAGGACAAACAGCCGAGGUUAAUGAACAUGCUACUUUGAGGCUUCCCUGGUGGCGCAGUGUUUAAGAAUCGGCCUGUCAAUGCAGGGGACACGGGUUCGAUCCCUGAUCUGGGAAGAUCCCACAUGCUGCGGAGCAACUAAGCUCGUGAGUCACAACUAUUGAGCCUGAGCUCUAGAGCCCGCAAGCCACAACUACUGAGCCCGCACGACAAAUUCUGAAGCCCAAGCACCUAAAUCCUGUGGUCCGCAACAACAGAGGCCACCGCAAUGAGAAACCCGCGCACAGCAAAGAAAAGUAGACCCUGCUUGCUGCAACUAGAGAAAGCCCGUGCACAGAAGCGAAGACCCAACACAGCCAAAAAUAAAAUAAAUAAAAUAAAUAAUUUUUUUAAAAAAAGGAACAUGCUACUUUAUAGCUGCAAAGUAUUUUCAUAGAUAUUAACUCACUUAUUUCUUGGAAAAAUCCCAGUGAGGUCAAAUAGGAAACAUAUCAUUAUUCUUAUUUAAAAAUUGGUAGUAGAGACUUGAAAAGUUAAGUGUCUUGGGCAAACUUUUGAGGCUGGCAGAUGAUAGCAUUAGAACUAGCAACACCUAUGUCACCUGACUAUAUAAUAUGUACAGAUCAUAUCUAAUGAAUCCAAUAUCAAGACUGAUCUCUUUAAAACCAACACAAUAUCUAUGAAUUAUUUUAAAAAUGAGAGAAAGUGUCUGAAAAUUAGUUUUUCAAGAGAUACUCCAAGAAGUAAUGAUUAGGACAGGGUCAUAUUCCUUAAUUCUUUGCAUGAAGUAAUUCUCAGGGAACUGGAAUGAUUUUUCAAAGGCAGUUAUUACAACUGACUGUAGGUAGAAGUACAUAAUGGGUACUUAAAUAUAGUUCAGCACUUUUAAUUAUUUUUUAAUGAUCAUUUCAGUAAUUUUCCAAGGAGAUCUGGCAUAAUCAACGAACCAAAACUUCCACUAUUUCUUGCAUAUUUCUAGGCUAAUUUAAGACUUUCCUGCAAGUUUAAUUGGCAUUCAAAUGAAGUAGACAUUCCUUAGAGAGCAAGGGCUGACAGCAUGUGCAAAGUAAGAUCAAACCAAGCUCUUCUGGUUGGUUUAUGUACUAAUUUGGAGAAAGUGUAGAAAUGCAAGCGCUUCAUGUACAAUGGGGUAACACUUAGUGAGGGAGCGCUUCAAAUUUUCAGGGUUCCUGUGUAGAAGGCUAUUUCCAAGGCUGACAGGGGCAUUAUGAUGCUCAGAUUAAUUCUUACAAAUUAAUCCUGGGAAAAUUCCUAAGUACUCUUUGAAGCAGUCCAAGCUACCCACUUGGUAAGUUUAGGAGCCAUCCGGAGGAUUGGGUAGGUCAGCAAACUCAGUCCUGAGCCCUGCCAUUUCUUCAAUUAUUUAAACAACUGCUAAUGGAACAUGUUUUCUUUCCCUUUUUUUUUUUUUUUUCUUCCCUUUUCCUACAAUGAUUUGGGGAAAUGAUAAAAAACAAAGCUGAAUUUGGCUGUAUAAAAUCUGGACAAGUAACAACUUUUCAUCUCUGUCUAUGUCUACUCUUAAUUAAAUCCCUUCUUAAAAACAGAAACAAAGAAAUGUG